AGCACUCAGGAUAGAAGGAUGUGCUGGAUGUUGCCUUGUUCUAAAAAAAGCAAAGGAUUUGGCCUUGAGCAAAUGGCUUGGGGCCUGUCGUUUAUGUGGAAGAUGGUCCUAUGAAACAGAGAGAGUGACUGAAACUAAAGAAAGGACCCCACAUCUAACCAAAGGCAUGUCACAGGGGGCGAGAAGGAACAGAAGUCUCAAUGAACGAACAGGUUUCUGCUUUGGGCCUGGGAGGAAAAGAAAUUCACUGGAGACAACGAGUCUCAGACUCUUCCCUAAUUAUGAGCAAGAGGUUCCUGGAUCCAGGAGG